UGACGGAGCAACGCCGCGUGAGUGAUGAAGGUUUUCGGAUCGUAAACUCUGUGUUAGGGAAGAACAAGUACCGUUCGAAUAGGGCGGUACCUUGACGGUACCUAACCAGAAAGCCACGGCUAACUACGUGCCAGCAGCCGCGGUAAUACGUAGGUGGCAAGCGUUGUCCGGAAUUAUUGGGCGUAAAGCGCGCGCAGGUGGUUUCUUAAGUCUGAUGUGAAAGCCCACGGCUCAACCGUGGAGGGUCAUUGGAAACUGGGGAACUUGAGUGCAGAAGAGGAAAGUGGAAUUCCAAGUGUAGCGGUGAAAUGCGUAGAUAUUUGGAGGAACACCAGUGGCGAAGGCGACUUUCUGGUCUGUAACUGACACUGAGGCGCGAAAGCGUGGGGAGCAAACAGGAUUAGAUACCCUGGUAGUCCACGCCGUAAACGAUGAGUGCUAAGUGUUAGAGGGUUUCCGCCCUUUAGUGCUGCAGCUAACGCAUUAAGCACUCCGCCUGGGGAGUACGGUCGCAAGACUG
rnacentral:rRNA from 1 species